rnacentral:misc_RNA from 2 species
ACGAGUUAUCCAAACUCCAAACCUUUGUGAACAUACCAAUCGUUGCUUCGGCAGGCGGCUCCGGGGGAGCACGAGGCCAUUUUUGGCGCCUGCCGAAAGCCCCAAACUCUUUACUUUAGUGGGAUUACCUGAGUACCAAACAAACAAGUAA